CCUACGGGGCGCAGCAGUGGGGAAUAUUGGACAAUGGGCGAAAGCCUGAUCCAGCCAUGCCGCGUGUGUGAAGAAGGCCUUCGGGUUGUAAAGCACUUUCAGUGGGGAAGAAAGCCUUGGGGCUAAUACCCUCGAGGAAGGACAUCACCCACAGAAGAAGCACCGGCUAACUCCGUGCCAGCAGCCGCGGUAAUACGGAGGGUGCGAGCGUUAAUCGGAAUUACUGGGCGUAGAGCGCGCGUAGGCGGUCUGAUAAGCCGGUUGUGAAAGCCCCGGGCUCAACCUGGGAACGGCAUCCGGAACUGUCAGGCUAGAGUGCAGGAGAGGAAGGUAGAAUUCCCGGUGUAGCGGUGAAAUGCGUAGAGAUCGGGAGGAAUACCAGUGGCGAAGGCGGCCUUCUGGACUGACACUGACGCUGAGGUGCGAAAGCGUGGGUAGCAAACAGGAUUAGAUACCCUAGUAGUC
rnacentral:rRNA from 1 species